GAUGAAGAACGCAGUGAAAUGCGAUAAGUAGUGUGAAUUGCAGAAUUCAGUGAAUCAUCGAAUCUUUGAACGCACAUUGCGCCCCUCGGUAUUCCGUGGGGCGUGCCUGUUCGAGCGUCAUUUAACCCCUCAAGCCUAGCUUGGUAUUGGGUGCUUGUCCCGCCUCUCGCGCGGCGACUCACCUCAAAGUCAUUGGCAGCCCGCAUCUCGCCGGCCGUGAGCGCAGCACAGACGCGCUCUUGGCAACGACGGAUCGGCUCUCCAAAAGCUUAUUUCAACCACUGACCUCGGAUCAGGUAGGGAUACCCGCUGAACUUAAGCAUAUCAAUAAGCGGAGGA
rnacentral:misc_RNA from 1 species